rnacentral:rRNA from 1 species
AGAGUUUGAUCCUGGCUCAAGAUGAACGCUAGCUACAGGCUUAACACAUGCAAGUCGAGGGGCAGCAUGACUGAAGCUUGCUUCAGUUGAUGGCGACCGGCGUACGGGUGCGUAACGCGUAUCCAACCUGCCCUCUACUCCGGAACAGCCCGUCGAAAGGCGGAUUAAUGCCGGAUGGUGUCCACUUGGUGCAUGCCAUGGUGGACUAAAGGUAACGGUAGAGGAUGGGGAUGCGACUGAUUAGGUAGACGGCGGGGUAACGGCCCACCGUGCCGACGAUCAGUAGGGGUUCUGAGAGGAAGGUCCCCCACACUGAAACUGAGACACGGUCCAGACUCCUACGGGAGGCAGCAGUGAGGAAUAUUGGUCAAUGGGCGCGAGCCUGAACCAGCCAAGUAGCGUGAGGGACGACUGCCCUAUGGGUUGUAAACCUCUUUUGAUUGGGAACAAAGAGCGCCACGUGUGGUGCGUUGCGUGUACCUUUAGAAUAAGCAUCGGCUAAUUCCGUCCCAGCAGCCGCGGUAAUACGGAAGAUGCGAGCGUUAUCCGGAUUUAUUGGGUUUAAAGGGAGCGUAGGCGGGCUGUUAAGUCAGCGGUCAAAUGUCAGGGCCCAACCUUGGCAUUCCGUUGAUACUGGCGGCCUUGAGUUCACACAAGGAAGGUGGAAUUCGUCGUGUAGCGGUGAAAUGCUUAGAUAUGACGAAGCACUCCGAUUGCGAAGGCAGCUUUCUGGGGUGUUACUGACGCUGAGGCUCGAAAGUGCGGGAAUCAAACAGGAUUAGCAUCCCCUGGUAGUCCGCACCGUAAACGAUGAGCACACGGUCAUUGGCGACAGACAGUCAGCGACCAAGGGAAACCGUUAAGCUGUCCAGCCUGGAGAGUACGCCGGCAACUAGUGAAACUCAAAGGAAUUGACGGGGGCCCGCACAGAGCGGAGGAACAUGUGGUUUAAUUAGAUGAUACGCGAGGAACCUUACCCGGGCUUGAUCUGCACAGGACGAUCCCAGAGAUGGUAUUUCCCUUCGGGGUCCGUGUGGAGGUGCUGCAUGGUUGUCGUCAGCUCGUGCCGUGAGGUGUCGGUUUAAGUGCCAUAACGAGCGCAACCCUCGUCGCCAGUUGCCAUCAGGUUAUGCUGGGCACUCCGGGGACACUCCCAUCGCAAGAUGUGAGAAAGGUGGGGAUGACGUCAAAUCAGCACGGCCCUUACGUCCGGGGCUACACACGUGUUACAAUGGCCGGUACAGAAGGCAGCUACCCCGCGAGGGGAUGCGAAUCCCGAAAGCCGGUCUCAGUUC